CAGCAGGUUCACCUCCUCUUGUACUUGGCUGAACCGCUCAUGCAAAUACCUGCAGUCACAAAGAUCACAGUCAGAAAUACUAUCAUCAGCACUGGAGACGAAAGCAGGUAUUUUGGAUUAAGAGCAGGGAGGAAGAGAGUCGGAAUAAGAGUCAUGCUAAUUCAGCUCGGUUUGAGGCUGCUCCUGGUUGAUGUCAGGUCACAGGAAAAAGGAACUGGACAAGAUGGGACUCAGACUGGCAUAACAACAUAAAAUCAGAGACUGUUUGACCUGUCUCCACCACAACAUCUCGGAUGGAGCUGUUGUACUCAGUGGUUGGACCGUGUUCUGAGCUGACAGAGCGCAGGACCACAGCUGGAUAAGGAGCUAAGGAUGCUUUGUGUUCAGACAGUCAAAGUCUUUCUCUGAUGUCAAACUUUUGAUGUGAAGAUGCUGAGCACAUCAUCAUCACCAACUUGUUGCUACAAUUAUCCCAACACAAAUUCAAAUCUUAAUGUCUACUUUUAUAUAAAUAACUGCAUAUAUGUCCUGUAAUUUGUGUAGCAUCAAGGAGUUUAUGAAGUUCCAUAUCCUAAUGCAACCCUGUGUAUGACAACAAUUAAAUUACCUUGUACCUUG